UGAGUUUUCUUGUCAGUUUUCCUACCGUUGUGGAAGUUCUGCCUUUCAUUGGACGUAUGAGAAAAUUUAAAGAGCAUCUUCAGCAGCUCAGGAUUUUUUCCACAUAGUGAAGCAGACUCAGCUUCGAAGACUUCCAAAAGCUGAUCAGAAAUUUAACACCAGGUUUAUCACUUACAGUAUAUCCAUAAAUCCUGCAGUUCACAUUUGGAUGGCCUGAAUGCCUCCAGAGUCUCUCUGGCUAAUUACCAAAGAGAUUUAACUGCCUCUGACAGUCAUUCAGAGGGUCUGAAUCAAAUCAUGAAUCAUCUGCCCUUAUUCACGCACUGGAACUGGGGUGCAGUUCUUGCCCCCUAAAAAUUUUACCAUAUUUUUCCUGGUCCUGUCAAGGGUCCGAAUCCCAUUUUGGGAAUACUUUUCUUUUUUGUAAGGUGAAAGCUGUUAAGAAAACCUUCACUUAAAGCCUAAUGUGAAAGGAUAUUGAAGAAAAAUGCUGACAAAACCAUCAAAAUCUAAUCCAGUGAGAGCUCAUUAGUUUCUUUUUUUUGGAAAAAAACAUGUCAGAAUGGAACGUUUUCAUUUAGAUGAAUACCUAAAUCUUCUGAGUACAAUAAAGGUAUUUCCCAGCAUUUUAAAAUAAGAAUAUAGGCACUUAGCAUAUAAGGUGGGAGGGGUUUACUCAGAGGUUCUUUUGACUUAGGUGUGUGGGUGCUGCACUCAUUUAAGCCAGUUCUGUGAGUAGUGGGACUGUUUAAGUCUGGUCGUGUGUGCAUUGGUAUUUCAUGAUUGAUAGAUGAGAAAUGCAAGUUCCUGUUUUAAGAGUGUGUCUGUUUGGGCCACAUACGAUAGUUCUGUCCUACAGACAGUGUAAUUGUAAUUGAGAUUAACUUUACAAACAUGUUUGAUUCAGGGCUCCAAACAGAAUGAGAAAUCACCAGCAGACAGAUUGCCACAUCCACAAGAGUUUACAGUGCAGUACCACUGAUGACUUACUUCCACAAGAAACCAAGGCAAAAAGGAGACGCUUGCAUUUGUGUUCGUUUCACUUGGAAUGCCAUGCCAUGAGACAGGAAUUUAGGACUACAGGGGCUUUCUAUGCCCCAUCCCAUGGGAAGGGAGUGAGUGAGCAGCUGCGUGGGACUCAGUUGCUGGCUGGGGUUAAAUCACGACAGCACUCAAAUCUGCAGUGCCAGAAGGGAGAAGUGCUUGUGCCAGUUGACAGGAACUGGACCACUGGAUGUCUGGCAGCUACUGUUCCACCAACACCCAAGCUCAUCACCUGCAUGAUCCUCUCAUCAGAAAAAUACCCCAGAAGUCAGCAUCAGGAAAUCCAUCACACAGUGAGACCUGGAGAAGUUAGCUGUUGGUGUAUUGCAGAGCACUGCUGCCGUCUAGUGAGUCAGAGUUAAUAAAAUAAGGUGGUAAACCAACAUGUGACUUACAAAGAGCUUCCCCCACUAAUGGGAGUUACCCAGGGUCCCAGAGAUGCUCCUUAUGUGUUGUUUAUGCCCAGUAGUAAAGUCUUGCAUUGCCUCAGUAGUGCUAGCUGAAAUGGUGCUCUGUGAUAAUAGAAUAAAAGCUGUUGAGGAGUUUUGUUGCCUGUACUUACAUAUCUCUGGGUUGUAUUCUUUAAUCUCUCUCCCCUCUCUCUCCCAUACCAGUGUUAUUUAUAGGAGCAAUUCUUCACUCAGCUGAAAAUAAAGGAAACCUUGAAAACACCUCAAGACAGGCUGAUUAUGAAUAAAUAGGGAUGUUAGCAUAGCAGGCAAAAAAACUCCCCAGUGUAAAUCCACUUAUUUCAGCCACACCA